rnacentral:rRNA from 1 species
UGGGGAAUUUUGGACAAUGGGCGCAAGCCUGAUCCAGCCAUGCCGCGUGCGGGAAGAAGGCCUUCGGGUUGUAAACCGCUUUUGUCAGGGAAGAAAUCUUCUGAGUUAAUACCUCGGGAGGAUGACGGUACCUGAAGAAUAAGCACCGGCUAACUACGUGCCAGCAGCCGCGGUAAUACGUAGGGUGCAAGCGUUAAUCGGAAUUACUGGGCGUAAAGCGUGCGCAGGCGGUUUUGUAAGACAGAGGUGAAAUCCCCGGGCUCAACCUGGGAACUGCCUUUGUGACUGCAAGGCUUGAGUGCGGCAGAGGGGGAUGGAAUUCCGCGUGUAGCAGUGAAAUGCGUAGAUAUGCGGAGGAACACCGAUGGCGAAGGCAGUCCCCCUGGGCCUGCACUGACGCUCAUGCACGAAAGCGUGGGGAGCAAACAGGAUUAGAUACCCUGGUAGUCCACGCCCUAAACGAUGUCAACUGGUUGUUGGGAAGGUUCCUUCUCAGUAACGUAGCUAACGCGUGAAGUUGACCGCCUGGGGAGUACGGCCGCAAGGUUGAAACUCAAAUGAAUUGA